rnacentral:rRNA from 1 species
AUUGAACGCUGGCGGCAUGCUUUACACAUGCAAGUCGAACGGCAGCACGGGCUUCGGCCUGGUGGCGAGUGGCGAACGGGUGAGUAAUGCAUCGGAACGUGCCCAUUUGUGGGGGAUAACUACGCGAAAGCGUGGCUAAUACCGCAUACGCCCUGAGGGGAAAGCGGGGGAUUCUUCGGAACCUCGCGCAAUUGGAGCGGCCGAUGUCAGAUUAGCUUGUUGGUGAGGUAAAGGCUCACCAAGGCGACGAUCUGUAGCGGGUCUGAGAGGAUGAUCCGCCACACUGGAACUGAGACACGGCCCAGACUCCUACGGGAGGCAGCAGUGGGGAAUAUUGCGCAAUGGGGGCAACCCUGACGCAGCAACGCCGCGUGAAGGAUGAAGGCUUUCGGGUUGUAAACUUCUUUGAUCGGGGACGAAGAUGACGGUACCCGAGGAACAAGCCACGGCUAACUACGUG